UUAGCAGACUAAGAGAGAAUUAUUGAACAUUAUAAUGAUUAAUUAAAUGUUUAAAUAAUGCUCAUUUCCAAAAUUGCAUUUAUUAUUGGACUCCACAUGAGUAGCUUUGCAUGAUUCACAGUUCAAAAUAAUCCUGAUUUACCUUACACUGGCCUUUGUGGCAGCACCUCUGUUCAUUCCCUGAAUUCUGUGACACUGAAACAAAGGAUGCAAGUCUAGCGUCUAGUCCAUGUAGAGAAACCAACAUUUUUAACACUUUUACCCAACUUUACAUCUCUCAACCUUAUAAAAAAAAAGGCUUCGGUGGCAGAUUAAUCCCAAUCUCUACGUUUAUAUAAAAACAUGAGCUGUGCAUUAUAACUGAACCAAGAAAUGCAAUAAAAGAAUCAAAAGUAAUCAAGAAUUUCAUUUGAAAUUAUUCUGUAACUGAAUCUGUAUAACUGUGCGAGGUUUGUACAAAAUACUCAGAAAAAUCAUUCUUGUUUGAUUCCAGCUGCUGUUGAGACCAAGACAGAUAGAAGCUGCUGUUGAUGAAUCUCUGAUCCUACUUUUACAUAAUGAACUCUGCUGCCACAAGGCACAUUUGUCAGUUUUUGAAAUGCAGAGUAUGUUUCUGAUAUCAUGAUGGAUUGGAGCAUAUAAAGAGGUUUCAGCAGCUGACGUUGGACAGCUUAGUGACUUGAGUGUCAGUGGUUUUGUGGGUGUCAGUUCAGUGUGGGUACAGAACCAAAAGCUCUUCCGAAAAUACUUUCAGAUGGGAUUUUUUUUUUUUUUUUGACAAAGACGUGCAGCUGCCUUUGUCAUCUGGGCAUAUGUGCACUCAUGCAGAUGGGCAAGGCCGCCCCCACAUAUUACAUACACACACUUCUCCCAUUACUUGUCUGUUGUCUUUCCACAGCUCAUGUUCACCAGAUGCAGGAGAAAACAGAUGAGAGAGAGUAACAGAUAAAGUAAAAUAGGAGUAAGGCACGGCAGGGAGGGGAUGGAGAGCGCGGAGAAGAAACAGAUGUGUGUGCGUCUGAUGAUUCAAACCUGCAAGGUGAAGAAAAUAAGUAGGGAGGUGAAAGGGGACUAUCAGUCGGCGAUGAGGAGAAAGGAGUACAUGGGGAUCUGCCCAGCCCGGGAGCUGCCGCCAGUCCCCACUGAGGCCUUCCCCAAACCGCAGUCUCAAUCCAUGCUCAAGCCAUCUGCCAUUAUCUACUAGAAAUGCUGUCAAACCAAAAAUGAGGAUGUGGUCCCAGCUAGUGAAAGAAGAUGUUAUAGCCAAUAAAAAUUAGCAGAUCCUUGGAGCUCAAAUCCUGCUGCUUCAACACUGUCUGCUGGUGACAGCCACACAGCUCAUAAAGGCUCCCAUAAACGCCAAAAAUAUCACCUUGCUAAUUUAGUAAGUGGAAUGGCUCAUCCAAUAAUGCAUACAGUAAAGGUUUGCUUGGUUAGCAUAACCUAUACAUGUGUUAUUUUUACUUAGUUUUUUACAGCUGCAACAAUUAGAUGUCUUUGUUUCUUUUUUUUUCAAUACAUUAAUGUUCCAAUACAAGAAGUUGAAAUGAUAAGAAACCAAGUUUUGUUUUCUGAAAAUGUGAGCAUGUUGACAAAUGCUAUGACCACCUUCCCCAUAGUAAUAGAGGGAAACCUGAGUGUUAGACUAGGGCCUAAAGCACAAUUAAGAAGUGAACUGGCACCCCCUGCUGGCCACCUGAUCAGAGCCGUACCAGCAAGACACCUGUUUAAAGGUGAUAAACAACAUUAUUAUUUUUUCUAAUAAAAUAUUUGAUUUACAGAUAUAAAAGUAACAAAAGCAUGUUCCAUGUCAAGUUGUUCCUACUCCUUAUAAAUCUGACCUGGCAGAAAUGCUGGGUUCAUGGCUGACUGUAAAUUAUUAGUUAAAUGGCAUAACUGAUUGAUUACUGCAGUUAUUGUCAGCAUCUGGACAUUUAUU
ensembl:lncRNA